rnacentral:rRNA from 1 species
CCGGGAGGAGCCUGCGUCCCAUCAGCUAGUUGGUAGGGUAAUGGCCUACCAAGGCUCAGACGGGUAGGGGGCGUGAGAGCGUGACCCCCCACACUGGUACUGACACACGGACCAGAUGCCUACGGGUAGCAGCAGCUAGGAAUAUUGGGCAAUGGGCGAAAGCCUGACCCAGCAACACCGCGUGAAGGACGACGGCCUUCGGGUUGUAAACUUCUUUUCGAGGGAAUGAGAAAGGACAGUACCCUCGGAAUAAGGCCCGGCUAACUACGUGCCAGCAGCCGCGGUAAUACGUAGGGGCCAAGCGUUAUCCGGAUUUACUGGGCGUAAAGCGCAUGUAGGCGGUCGAUCAAGUCGGAUGUGAAAGCUCCUGGCUUAACUGGGAGAGGUCAUUCGAAACUAGUCGGCUGGAGGGUGGUAGAGGAGAGCGGAAUUCCAGGUGUAGCGGUGAAAUGCGUAGAUAUCUGGAGGAACACCAGUGGCGAAAGCGGCUCUCUGGACCAUUCCUGACGCUGAGAUGCGAAAGCCAGGGGAGAGAACGGGAUUAGAAACCCCGGUAUUCCUGGCCGUAAACGAUGUCAACUAGGCGUAGGAGGUUAUUAACCCCUUCUGUGCUGUAGCUAACGCGUUAAGUGACC